UGCAGGCGAUACGGGCAUAACUUGAGUGCUGUAGGGGAGACUGGAAUUCCUGGUGUAGCGGUGAAAUGCGCAGAUAUCAGGAGGAACACCGAUGGCGAAGGCAGGUCUCUGGGCAGUAACUGACGCUGAGGAGCGAAAGCAUGGGUAGCGAACAGGAUUAGAUACCCUGGUAGUCCAUGCCGUAAACGGUGGGCGCUAGGUGUGGGGGUCUUCCACGACUUCUGUGCCGUAGCUAACGCUUUAAGCGCCCCGCCUGGGGAGUACGGCCGCAAGGCUAAAACUCAAAGGAAUUGACGGGGGCCCGCACAAGCGGCGGAGCAUGUGGAUUAAUUCGAUGCAACGCGAAGAACCUUACCUGGGCUUGACAUAUGCAGGAUCGCGCCAGAGAUGGUGUUUCCCUUGUGGCUUGUAUACAGGUGGUGCAUGGUUGUCGUCAGCUCGUGUCGUGAGAUGUUGGGUUAAGUCCCGCAACGAGCGCAACCCUUGUCUUAUGUUGCCAGCACGUGAUGGUGGGGACUCAUGAGAGACUGCCGGGGUCAACUCGGAGGAAGGUGGGGAUGACGUCAAAUCAUCAUGCCCCUUAUGUCCAGGGCUUCACACAUGCUACAAUGGUCGGUACAGUGGGUUGCGAGACCGUGAGGUGGAGCGAAUCCCUUUGAAAGCCGGCCUCAGUUCGGAUUGGGGUCUGCAACUCGACCCCAUGAAGUCGGAGUCGCUAGUAAUCGCAGAUCAGCAAUGCUGCGGUGAAUACGUUCCCGGGCCUUGUACACACCGCCCGUCACGUC
rnacentral:rRNA from 1 species